AGUCUUAUAUUCAAAUAAAUGAUAUAAAAUUGCAAAUUUUAAGGUGUAAAAAUACUAAGGCUU
rnacentral:tRNA from 1 species